ACACUCGACAGCCAAUCAAAUGGCGGGGUUUGUCGUCAGGGUUCGUGGGUGGACACCGCAGUUGAUGGGAUGCUCCUUAGAGAGACAGAUACAGAGAGAUUCCUGUAAGCACCUCGUGUCCUUUACUGUACCCAACCAUCUUUUCCACUUGUAACCUUUUCCUUAGCCUCCAUUUCUCCUCCAACAUUUUUUUUUAAUUGCCAUGUCUAAUUUUUCCCAUAUGUUUUUAGUUUAUGUGCUUGACAGUGAACUUUGCUACGGUUACAGUCAGCAUCGUCUGAACAAGAUGAAGAAAUGUUUUUUGGCAUUUUACCAUAAUGACAAUUUGAAACGAAACAACCAUUAUGAAUUUUAAGUGUAGUCAUUAACCACAAAAAUACAACCUUUACCACCUCAGCCAUUUUGUACAGAACUCUAUUUUUAAGGGUCAGAUGUCGUUGAACAAUGGGCUGAAAAGCUGUUUUAUGACUUCUCUAUUAAUGUUUUAAAGCUACAGUAAUUGAAAACUGGUACUCCCACCACACAAGAACGACUAGCCCGCUUUUACAAUGUCUCUUCUGGCUGAAGUUGAAAAUGGGCCAAUUCUGCCUUUGGAAAAUGCAGUAAUUUUAUUAAACCUGCUUGUCAGAACUCAAUAGCCACCUACCAUCCAGAGUUUCCAUUUUAAUACAGUGUUGACAAACUGUGUGUAGACCAAAUAGCCAAAAAUCUAAUCUAUAUUGUUAACAGUUAAACCAGGUUAAAUAUUUACAUAUUUCAUAGCAUUUAUAUACAUCACAGUAGAAGUAAUAUUUCAUAUUAUCUUGGUGCUGCACAUUUAAAACCUUCAUUUUAAACCCCUGGUGCUGUUGUUCUUUUAACAUUUGUUUAAGUUUACUAUUGGUGGAAUACACCAAAAUUAAACCAACACUGGACACUACCUUGUAAGAUCUCCUGCAGUGUUCAGACAUUGAAUUGGCAUUUUGUAUGUUUUCUGUGGAUCUAUCAAUAUGAGGUUAAGGAAGGCACCAAUGCAAUUUGUGGGGCCUCUAUAGGGCUGGAAAAACAAUCCUAUCUCAGAUGGCAACGUGAUUGUACAAGACCAGCUUCUAAGCUCUACAAUAUACAUUUUAUGUAUUAUAUACAUGUACGGUACAUACAUAUAUACAUAAGUACCUAUGUACAUUUAUAGAUAGACUUACAUACAUACAUCCGUAUGUUUAUUUAUCUAUGUGUGCAUGGAUGUGUGCAUGUAUGUGUAUAUAUCUGUUUAUGUAUGUAAGCUUGUGUGUAUGUAUUUUAUAUUUUAUUUGUUUAUAUUAUAACACCCUAACUGAUGAAUAAAUGUGUGAUUAGCCACUAAGGUACAGGUAUGAGUAAGUGAUUUCAAAGACAAAAAUUUAAUUUGAAUUAAAUAUUUGAAGAUGGGACACAAGCAUUUAAAGUAUACCUAGGACAAGUCCAAGGAAAUGUCCAUGUGGCCAAUAAAGCAACACACUAUGUUAAAAUCAAAGCCAGAGCUCAUGUUUAUGAAAGUUGAAGUUAUUGCUUUGUCUGGAAUGUUCCUCAGUAUGGCACUGAAGGUACACCUCCAUGUUGGCAAGUGGAUGCCAGACCCCCCUUCAGAAAAGUUACAUAGCGCACCUUUAAAUAGACUCCAGUAUAAUACAACUCUAGAAUGAGCUUGAUCUUUGUAAAUCUGAUAAAAUUGCUUUGUGUAACUGUAAUGCGUGGGAGAUAUUAAAACUCUAGGCUUGUACAGUAGUGUUACAUUAAUAGAAAGGGCCAGGAUGAAAGCAGGACAGGACGUAGGACGGGAGCAGAACCCCUGGGCUCCUUCGUCUAUUUCUGACAAGUGCCAGGUACAAGUUCAGCUCGUAUUUUUAAUCUCAUACCUAAUACCUGCUGUUUCAGACUUGGAGGUUGAAUGCGGAGGCGGAGGCAGUUUACAUGAACAGUUUGUCCCAUUUGUUCGUCAGUUUAGGCCCUGGAGACGCUGCCACCACGAGCUCUCGUCCCAUGAGUAAAACGCUUCAGUAGUGCGGUGUAGCCCUGUUGCAGAGGGAGCUUAAUUCCACUUUAUGCUAACAGGCUUGAUCCUCGUCUCUAUGUGUAACAGAGGAGCAAGUGGAGAUGGAAGAUAUGAGAAAUACUGACUUUGAUAUAAAAUGAUGAAUCGAACAUUGGUACAUAAAGAUAAAAAAAUUAUCAGUAUGAUGUUGUAUGAUGUCAAGCUUUAUCAUUUUGGACAAAAUGGGCUGAUACUGAAAGCAAUACUAAGUACAAUUCAUUCAUUUUCAUAGCCAGGUGAUACCCUGCUGUGUAAAUAUUGAUGCAUGUCAAGUGUAAUGAUAAAAACAAAUAAAACAUGUUUUUAUGACAUUAUUUGAAUGAUUUGGAAUAAGAGUCAGAAUUCCCAGAGCCUGCUCCAGCUGUGACAUUGGUUAAAUCAUUAAUUUGUUUUUACUUUGGUCAUAAUUAAAACUAUAAUUGUCUUCUUGGAAAAUCAUUACAGUAGUUUUCCAUUUGGAGGUCAACCACCUCAAUAAACUAAACGAAACAUGGUUUCUUAUCAUCACCAGAUAUGUCCAUUCUUUAGUUUUUAAAUGUGUUUUGUGUUACUUGCAGCUGUAACUGGAAAACAUAUACCUCAUUUUACUUAGUGUGCACAUUUUACUUUAAAAUUUAUGAAUAAAUUUGUCUUUUUUUAAAUAUAUAUAAAUCUGUUUGUAAACUCCAUUUAUGCCCCAUGUGAGUCUAUACUCAAAGUUUGAUAAAGUGGUGUCUUUGGUUCUGUAGUGUUCAUGACUCUUCAAUAAGGUAUGAGGAGCUGGAUAUAUAACACUCCAUGUAAUGCAAUUUAGAUUUUUUUGCUGAAAUAUUAUUGUAGCUGUUGAAAAAUGUUCUGUUCUUGAGCCUUCUCAUUUCCUCCUCCCCCAGGCCUUCAUCAACACAGCCAAGGAGAUCUACGAGAAGAUCCAGGAGGGAGUGUUUGAUAUCAACAAUGAGGCUAACGGUAUUAAGAUUGGACCCCAGCACCCUACCCCCAGCUCCACACUGUCCGGUAGCCAGGGAGGCCAACAUGCUGGAGGCGGCUGCUGUUGAACACCCCCUACUCACCUCCAACCACCACCGCUUCCUCCUCCUCUCGACCUAGGAUGCCCCUCUCGUAUUCGGGAAACUCCUCUCCCACACCGACCCCCCCCCAACCAUCCAUCGUCCUGCCCCAACCCUCCCUUGCGUUUCUACAGAACUGUCCAGGCUCACUAACAGUUUGUCCAUUGACUUCUCUCACCCAUCUCUGUUCCUAUUUCCUUGUAUAUUUUUGUAGUUUUUGCGUCCCAGUCAGCGUAACAUAUGUAGUCUUAACAAGGACAAAGCCAACUUCAGACCCCGCCCCCAAAUUCAUCCACCAUUUUAUUCGAAUUUAGAUUUUAACCUGUAUUAAAAUGCUGCAGAGUUUUUGCUUGUUGCUGGAGGUGUUACGGCAUUAUUGUCAUAAUUAAUCCAUAGUUUUCAAAUUUCAGUGGCUUUUCCGGUGUAUGACACAAGUCUGACUGUACCGAAUUAAAAACCGCAGCGCUGUGUUGUGUCUAUUCAUUUUAAAAGAAGUGACGCGGCCAUGUCGAUAGCAAGGCGAGCUACAACUUGUCCAGUUUACAUGCUGUGCCUGUGUGCAUGUGUAGGUAUAUUGAGAAAUGUCAGUCAGUUUAUCUAAAGGCUUUGGAAUGAGUUACCAACAUGUGAUGCUUUUUGUCUCUUCCCCUUUAUAAUUAUUGUCAUGUUUUUGUUUUGUAUUUAAAGAACACUAUAUAAACUGGAUGUGGCUUACAAAAAGUGUUUUAAGAGAAUAAAUGACCAAACUGUUUGAAAA